CCCAGCCUGGGUGGGCCCGGCCGCUCACCUGCAGCAGCUUCAUCCCCACCAGCUGCAGCCCCUUCCUCUCGAAGCGCCGGAUGAUCUCCCCGACCAGGCGCCGCUGGACGCCGUCCGGUUUGAUGGCCACGAAGGUCUCCUCAAAGAUCCUGGUGCAGGCACUUGGGUGCAGGUUUUCAUUUCCUUGCACUGUAAAUGUUCUUUUGAGCCUCCCUGCAGCAGAACUUGCAGGAGAAACAUGUCAAACGCUCUCCACUUGGGAUGGAAUGGAUAGAAUGCAGCACAGAAGAUGACAAGUGACACCCUCUGAGCAUCCCAGUGACAUAGGACAUCAGUGGCAAAGACCCUCUGCUGGGGCACAUCUCUAAGCCCAGCCCUGUUCUGGUUCUGUCCUGCUCCCCACAGAGAGACCUGUGGGUGGUGUUGGUCACUCCUUUUAUCUGCUAGUGCUUGGCUGUGGCUGAGCUGCAGCUGGGAGCCCAGCCAGGGGAAGCAGCUGAUUCUCCUUCAGAACAGAGACUUGCACAUCAAUAAAUGUCUCAUUACAGAUGC